CUUCGGGUUGUAAGCACUUUAAGUUGGGAGGAAAAGCUGAGGGUUAAUAGCCUUUAGUGUUGACGUUACCAACAGAAUAAGCACCGGCUAACUCCGUGCCAGCAGCCGCGGUAAUACGGAGGGUGCAAGCGUUAAUCGGAAUUACUGGGCGUAAAGCGCGCGUAGGCGGUUUGUUAAGUCAGAUGUGAAAUCCCCGGGCUCAACCUGGGAAUGGCAUUUGAGACUGGCAGGCUAGAGUAUGGUAGAGGUGAGUGGAAUUUCAGGUGUAGCGGUGAAAUGCGUAGAGAUCUGAAGGAACAUCAGUGGCGAAGGCGACUCACUGGGCCAUUACUGACGCUGAGGUGCGAAAGCGUGGGUAGCAAACAGGAUUAGAUACCCUGGUAGUCCACGCCCUAAACGAUGUCAACUAGGUGUAUGGAGAAUUUAUUCUUUGUGUAUCGAAGCUAACGCGAUAAGUUGACCGCCUGGGGAGUACGGUCGCAAGACUAAAACU
rnacentral:rRNA from 1 species